GACGAACGCUGGCGGCGUGCUUAACACAUGCAAGUCGAACGGAAAGGCCCUGCUUUUGUGGGGUGCUCGAGUGGCGAACGGGUGAGUAACACGUGAGUAACCUGCCCUUGACUUUGGGAUAACUUCAGGAAACUGGGGCUAAUACCGGAUAGGAGCUCCUGCUGCAUGGUGGGGGUUGGAAAGUUUCGGCGGUUGGGGAUGGACUCGCGGCUUAUCAGCUUGUUGGUGGGGUAGUGGCUUACCAAGGCUUUGACGGGUAGCCGGCCUGAGAGGGUGACCGGCCACAUUGGGACUGAGAUACGGCACAUACUCCUACGGGAGGCAGCAGUGGGGAAUAUUGCACAAUGGGCGGAAGCCUGAUGCAGCAACGCCGCGUGCGGGAUGACGGCCUUCGGGUUGUAAACCGCUUUCGCCUGUGACGAAGCGUGAGUGACGGUAAUGGGUAAAGAAGCACCGGCUAACUACGUG
rnacentral:rRNA from 1 species